UGUGGCCUACGGGGCGCAGCAGUGAGGAAUAUUGGUCAAUGGGCGCGAGCCUGAACCAGCCAAGUAGCGUGAAGGAUGACUGCCCUAUGGGUUGUAAACUUCUUUUAUAUGGGAAUAAAAUGUUCCACGUGUGGGAUUUUGUAUGUACCAUAUGAAUAAGGAUCGGCUAACUCCGUGCCAGCAGCCGCGGUAAUACGGAGGAUCCGAGCGUUAUCCGGAUUUAUUGGGUUUAAAGAGAGCGUAGGUGGAUUGUUAAGUCAGUUGUGAAAGUUUGCGGCUCAACCGUAAAAUUGCAGUUGAAACUG
rnacentral:rRNA from 1 species